rnacentral:sRNA from 1 species
UUUGCUUUAUAGCCCAGGAGGAUGAGAACCUCCGGGGGGUAAGAGGUUCGACUCGAGCGUAGCGAGAGAACGUUGCGUCAGCAACGGCCCGCGGGGCGAGCCACGUAGUGGCGAGUAAUCCUCUACCACCGACCA